AAAAUAUAAAAGGUUAUGUCCCUAGAACAAGUGGCAAAGAACUUGGUGGUUGGUACUCGAGACCCAAGUUCGAAUUCUAGUUGAUUCACAUUUCCAACUAAGUUUAUUUUUAAAUAAAAUAAACGAAGCGGAUAACGUGCUACCUAUCUCUAAAAAAAAAAAAAAGAAAAGAAAAUAUAAAGGAUUAUGUACCCUAAUGAUAAUAGCUAGAUUUAAGCAUUUUGAGCUGUUGGUUUAAGUUCCAUCUUGUUGGGAGCGUGAUUUUCUCUAAUACCAAUUGCUGGAAUCGAUAUUUGUGCUGAUACCGAUUAUAUAAUCCAAGAUCUAAAAUAGAACAAAAUAAUAUAUAGAAGAGAUAUUGUAGGAGGAAGAAGAUAAUAAAACUAAUACUUUAUUAAUAAAAAAUAAUUAAUUAUAUUUCGA
rnacentral:lncRNA from 1 species